rnacentral:rRNA from 1 species
AGAGUUUGAUCAUGGCUCAGGAUGAACGCUAGCGGCAGGCUUAACACAUGCAAGUCGAGGGGCAGCGGGUCGUAGCAAUACGAUGCCGGCGACCGGCGCAAGGGUGCGUAACGCGUGAGCAAUCUGCCCGUAUCAGGGGGAUAAGCGAUGGAAACGUCGUCUAAUACCGCAUAACAACGAUGGAGGCAUCUCCGAUGUUUGAAAGCUUCGGUGGAUACGGAUGAGCUCGCGAGACAUUAGUUAGUUGGCGGGGUAACGGCCCACCAAGACCGCGAUGUCUAGGGGAACUGAGAGGUUGGUCCCCCACACUGGAACUGAGACACGGUCCAGACUCCUACGGGAGGCAGCAGUGAGGAAUAUUGGACAAUGGCCGGAAGGCUGAUCCAGCCAUGCCGCGUGAAGGAUAAGGUCCUAUGGAUUGUAAACUUCUUUUGAGUGGGAGCAAUAAGGAUGUCGUGACAUCCGAUGAGAGUACCAUUCGAAUAAGCAUCGGCUAACUCCGUGCCAGCAGCCGCGGUAAUACGGAGGAUGCGAGCGUUAUCCGGAUUUAUUGGGUUUAAAGGGUGCGUAGGCGGUUUGUCAAGUCAGCGGUGAAACGCAAGGGCUUAACCCUUGACCUGCCGUUGAAACUGAUUGACUAGAAUGCGGAUGCUGUGGGAGGAAUGUGUGGUGUAGCGGUGAAAUGCAUAGAUAUCACACAGAACACCGAUUGCGAAGGCAUCUCACAAAUCCGUGAUUGACGCUGAGGCACGAAAGUGUGGGGAUCAAACAGGAUUAGAUGCCCUGGUAGUCCACACUGUAAACGAUGAUGACUCGCUGUCGGCGAUAUACAGUCGGUGGCCAAGCGAAAGCGAUAAGUCAUCCACCUGGGGAGUACGACCGCAAGGUUGAAACUCAAAGGAAUUGACGGGGGCCCGCACAAGCGGAGGAACAUGUGGUUUAAUUCGAUGAUACGCGAGGAACCUUACCCGGGCUCGAACGGUAGACGAACGCUGUAGAGAUACAGCGGUCCUUCGGGACGUCUAUC